GACAGAUUCACCGCUGAGGAACCAAGUAGAAUGUGAAGUCUGCCCUGAGGUCACACAAAAAAGAAGGGGCUGCCUGGCCUAGCCCUGAUGGAGGGGGCCAUGGAUAGAACAACGGGGAGGCAGGGGUGUCUCUGAGAUGCUCUGGUCACCUUGUCAUAUAAUGGUGGUGUACAAUGACCAAAAUGGACACCAGGGGGCACCUGGGUACCAUUCCUUAGAAGACUGGGUGUGAUGAGAGCAGGACCAGCGCCACCUGUCCUGCUUGGUGCCCUAUGCUUAGGGCUCACAGAUGUCAACUCUCCACCCCCUGGGACCACACGGCCCCACACCUGCCACUCCCUGACAUCCUCAGGCAGAGGAGCCUGACCCAGGGCCCAGGGUGGGAUCAGAAAGCUGGAGGGUCUGAUUUGCAUGGAUGGACCCUCCUCCUCUCAGAGUAUAAAGAGGGGCAGGGAGAGACUUGGGGAAGCUCUGCUUCAGCUGUGAGCACAGAAGGCAGGACUCGGGACAAUCUUCAUCAUGACCUGCUCCCCUCUCCUCCUCGCCCUUCUCAUUCACUGCACAGGGUCCUGGGCCCAGUCUGUGUUGACGCAGCCGCCCUCAGUGUCUGCGGCCCCAGGACAGAAGGUCACCAUCUCCUGCUCUGGAAGCAGCUCCAACAUUGGGAAUUAUGCAGUAUCCUGGUACCAACAGCUCCCAGGAACAGCCCCCAAACUCCUCAUCUAUGAAAAUAAUAAGCGACCCUCAGGGAUUUCUGACAGAUUCUCUGGCUCCAAGUCUGGCACGUCAGCCACCCUGGGCAUCACUGGACUCCAGACUGGGGAUGAGGCUGAUUAUUACUGCUCAGCAUGGGAUAGCAGCCUGAGUGCUGGCACAAUGCUCCAGGCCAAUGGGGAACUGAGACAAGAACCACCUUCCUCCUCCACCAGGAGGGGUCCUGGGCCCAGUCUGUGCUGACACAGCCACCCUCAGCGUCUGGGACCCCCGGGCAGAGGGUCACCAUCUCUUGUUCUGGAAGCAGCUCCAACAUCGGAAGUAAUUAUGUAUACUGGUACCAGCAGUUCCCAGGAAUGGCCCCCAAACUCCUCAUCUAUGAUAAUAAUCAGCGGCCCUCAGGGGUCCCUGACCGAUUCUCUGGCUCCAAGUCUGGCACCUCAGCCUCCCUGGCCAUCAGUGGGCUCCGGUCCGAGGAUGAGGCUGAUUAUUACUGUGCAGCAUGGGAUAACAGCCUGAGUGGUCCCACAGUGCUCCAGGCCCAUGGGGAAGUGAGACAAGAACCCCCUUCCCCCUCUGCCAGGAGGGUGAGCCCCAGCAGCUUCUGCUCAGGACUGGCCUGUGGCUUCUGCUGCUGUAGCUUCCUUCAUGGGUCCAGGGGCACCCAGGGCCCUGCCUGAGAGUGGAGGCUCCUCCUCCCCUUCAUCCUCAGAGUCAGGAACAGGACAUCCAGGAAACAGAACAUCCUGCUCCCUGCAGCUUAGGACACAGGGUUUCUGCACUGAAGUCCUGGGCUGAGGUGGCAGAUGCAGCUGUGUCGUCACAGACCCACCUCUGAUGGGAAACCUGUGUCUCUGUCAUCCUCCUUUUCCCAUUUCCAGGAGUUUCCAGAGUGGUGUCUUCCUCUGUCUGCUCCUCAGUGUGAAUCCCUGUGCUUCCUUUCUCUCCAGCCUAUUCUUUUUAAAUAAAACUCCUUUCAUGUAGGAAUAAUGCACAUCUAAUAAACCACCCAGAUGUAUAAUAGG